AGAUGGUAAAAUAACUCACUGAUACUGACUCACUUCGCGAGAAAGGGGAUUAACAAGGCACAAGAGAACGGACAAAAUACGUCAAGACGCAAACGUGUACUUAAACAUUCGAAGAUCAUUGGAGUUCUUGAAGACAAUGUGACACUCGCCAACUGACUGAUGUUUAGAAGAAUAAGAGCCGUUUCUCGAUGAGAAUUAACCGCAAUUACCGGACUCAUACAUUCGUACUAAAUGAGUGUACUGGCUUGAUAAAUACAAGCAAAGAGAAUUCAAGAGGAAAAGAAAAUGAGGAAGAAAGAGAGAGAAGACUAUUUUCGACAACCAAUGGCUGCUGUAGAUUGGAAAUUUGCGACGAAUGGAGUACAAGGUUUAAACGAAGCCGAUUGAGAAAUAGUGAACGAGCCGACAGCUCGAGUUUUUUUAUUUUUUUAUUUUUUCAAUGGUAAUAGACUUGUAAUCGCACCGUUGAGACUAGAUACUUGUUAUAUCGGUGUAGAAGUACUCAAUAAUUUUAAGGAAGAAAAUGGAAAAUUGUAUAUUGCAAAACAUUACUGUUUAUUGCUUUGAGGAUAUUUUUUGAUGUUGUUUUGUUUUGUUAUGAAAUUUUAUUUGAUAAAAUAAUGUAAAUAAUUUAUGUUAUGAAGAAGAGAAUGUUUUACAAAGUAGAGUUUAUAUCAUAAUUUAUGGAAAAAUAUUUAUUGUAGAAGUGUGUGAUUGAAAAACCAGGUUUAUUUUACUUCAAUGACAGGAAAAAAACAUUGUUUCAUUUGCGGUGAUGUGAUGGUAUUCAUUAAAGUGAAAUUAUUAAGAAGAAUGAUUCAAUAAAGGAAUGUAAUGUGGUUGGAGAUAGAGAUUAAUUCUAUGCAUUUUUUUAGUUGUUGAUAAUUAAUUAAUCAAUGAAUGAAUAUCAACAUAUUUCUUAAUGGAAUAUUAUUGUUUAUAUGAUGAAUUUUUUUCAUUUAAUUCCUUUGCAUUCUUUUGGAGAUGAAGUGUUUUAAUGAUGAAUUAAAAUGAUUUAGCUUUAAAAAAAAUACUUAAUAAUUCAAUGGUGUGACUAUCGCUAAAUAUAUAAACCACUAAAUUAUUGAAUCAUGUUUUAUUUUAAUAUUUAUAAAUUGUAAGAAAAUUCAUUAAUGAGUUAAAAAAAAAAAAUUGUAAUAAGGAGAACAAUGGAGAAACACUGGUUACUCAUUGUAAUGAUUUAGUUCUAAUAUUUCGAUGAAAUCAGAGGUCACAUAGUCCCAAUCUCAACAAUUCAAUCAAUUUGAUCAUAAUCUCAAAUAUCCAUUGAACAAAUAGCUGAAAUGAUUGCCAAGAUGAAAAAACAGUAUCUACAGGAUGAUUUCAAUGAUGAAUUGAUGAGUGUUAGGGUGUGUUCAGUAAUAAGUACGUAAUUUAAAGCACUCGACUCAACUCGUGGGAGAAUAAAAAGCAGACUUCUAAUCAGAUUAACUCGAAAGAGGCGCGAGAAUUUUCAUCAGAUCGAUCCGAAUGACUGGAGGCAAGAACAUGGAGAUAGAGGAGGAGUAAUUGGCGUUUGUGGCGCACCUAAAUAAUGUACAAUGAAAGAUAGGCAAGAGUGGGAAUAUGAAGUGAGGCAGGAAUAGUUUAAAUACGUCGAGAAUAUAUGUACAUAUGUGCAGAGAGUUGAAUAAUAAACCUGGACGAGCAACGAGAAGAAAGAAUAGAGGGCGGAUUGAUAUGCAGCAGCAUUUCUCGAUCGACUUCCUUCCUGUUGGAAUAAUCGGGAAGGGGAAAAAUGCUUUGAGCUCUCUUACCCAAGCUCUUUUACGCCUUCGGGCAACUCUCGCGAACCUUUCCAACUCGCUAAAUUAAUUCGAUUGCGCACUGGAUCGAUCCUGACGAACAGACAAAAAAGUCACAAAGGAGAUAAAACGACGUCACAAUGAGAGAAAAGAAAAUAUAACUUUUUUUUAUUGGCGAAAUCGAAACCAACUUUUACACUGCCAGAUAAAAAAGUCUACUUUUAAAUGAAAAUAAACUACUUCUGUUGGGAAGUUAUGUUUGAUUUCGAAUUUCCCAAUAUGGAUGUUUGAUUUUAAUUAAACAUUUUAUUUUUUCUACAGUAUUUGAUGACAUUAUAGUUUCAAUUUAAAUAAAUUGACUCUUUAAAAAUGUUUAUUUAACGUUUCAAGUUGGUGGG
rnacentral:lncRNA from 1 species